CUGCUUGAAACUUGGCAUUCAAGGCGCCUGCCUCCAUCUCCGUCCUAAUCUCCCUGCCAUGUCCGGGACCCUCCGCAGAACUACUUAUAGAUUCCUCCAAAGGCCAGGCUAAUCCAUGCCUAUGUGCCUUUGGGUACACAGUACUCUGCCUGAAUUGCUUUUCUCUGGCUUAUCUAGCUUGAGGCUUCCUUAAAAAUGUCACCUUCUCCAUGAAGUAUUUCCCAGUCCAGACAUAAUUACUCUUAUCUCUGUGCUAAAAUCCACAGAUGUCUACGGUAGACGAGAAUGGCCGUUUAUCACUUUAGUACAGUGCUUGCAAACUUCAGUCUCCAUCAGAAUUACCCAGAAGGCUUGGUAAAGCACAGACUGCUGACUCCAGAGUUUCUGAUUCUAUUCUGGUCUGGGCUGGUGUUGGAGGAAGAAUCGAGAGGGCAUGACCACUGAUUGACCCACCAGCUGGACUCAGGCAGUCGCAGGCUCCUCCCACACCCUUUGUCUUUGGAAUGUAGGCUCAGCCUACUUUCCCACAGUGGGAGCUGUUUCAAGGACGUAGCCUUGAGAGAGAAAGGUGUUUUUGAGACUGUCUGGACUGAAUAUAUGACUGAAUCCAGUUAAGGUCUCUUUAACUUUAAGGUUUUGGUGGGCAGGUACAGGGAUCUAUUCGUCUUGCAGGCGCCAAAGACAAGCCUCAGAAGAAAUCGCAAGGGUCGGCACACUCGGAGUGCAACGGAGGAGCGUCGCCCUGGGAAAUACCACCUUCUUGAUCGUGGUAUUUCCCCUGCCAGAAAGAAAUUGCUCAGGAAGCAGAUAGAGGAUGCGUUGGAGGAGGUGAAAUCGACUUCUGAGCGUUGGGGAGGAGGUGAAGUUGGUAAGACCUGAUUCCCUGAGUGCAGAGGGAAGGGAGAAGUUCAGCAGGAUGCCCAGGUCCACUUGGAUGAUGACGGUGCCCUUUUUUUUUUUUUAAUUUUUGAAUUUUAUUUUAUUUAUUUUUUUAUAUAGCAGGUUCUUAUCAGUUAUCUGUUUUAUACAUAUUAGUGUAUAUAUGUCAAUCCCAAUCUCCCAAUUCAUCCCACCACCACCACCCCCCUGUGCCACUUUUCUCCCUUGGUGUCCAUACGUUUGUUCUCUACAUCUGUGUCUCUAUUUCUGCCCUGCAAACCAGUUCAUCUGUACCAUUUUUCUAGGUUCCACAUAUAUGCGUUAAUAUAUGAUAUUUGUUUUUCUCUUUCUGACUUACUUCACUCUGUAUGACAGUCUCUAGAUUCAUCCACAUCUCUACAAAUGACCCAAUUUCGUUCCUUUUUAUGGCUGAGCAAUAUUCCAUUGUAUAUAUGUACCACAUCUUCGUUAUCCAUUCGUCUGUCGGGCAUUUAGGUUGCUUCCAUGACCUGGCUAUUGUAAAUAGUGCUGCAAUGAACAUUGGGAUGCAUGUGUCUUUUUGAAUUAUGGCUUUCUCUGGGUAUAUGUCCAGUAGUGGGAUUGCUGGGUCAUAUGGUAAUUCUACUUUUAGUUUUUUAAGGAACCUCCAUACUGUUCUCCACGGUGGCUGUAUCAAUUUACAUUCCCACCAACAGUGCAAGAGGGUUCUCUUUUCUCCACACCCUCUCCAGCAUUUGUUGUUUGUAGA